rnacentral:tRNA from 1 species
GGGGGAAGGACUCAGUGGUAGAGUGCGUGCUUAGCAUGCACGAAGUCCUGGGUUCAAUCCCCAGCACCUCCA